UCGGGAAUAUUGCGCAAUGGAGGAAACUCUGACGCAGUGACGCCGCGUAUAGGAAGAAGGUUUUCGGAUUGUAAACUAUUGUCGUUAGGGAAGAAAAAAGACAGUACCUAAGGAGGAAGCUCCGGCUAACUACGUGCCAGCAGCCGCGGUAAUACGUAGGGAGCAAGCGUUAUCCGGAUUUAUUGGGUGUAAAGGGUGCGUAGACGGGCGAUCAAGUUAGUUGUGAAAUCCCUCGGCUCAACUGAGGAACUGCAACUAAAACUGGUUGUCUUGAGUGCAGGAGAGGUAAGUGGAAUUCCUAGUGUAGCGGUGAAAAUGCGUAGAUAUUAGGAGGAACACCAGUGGCGAAGGCGACUUACUGGACUGUAACUGACGUUGAGGCACGAAAGUGUGGGGAGCAAACAGGAUUAGAUACC
rnacentral:rRNA from 1 species